UUUAGGUGACGGGGAAGUUCAGGGGAAAGGGGUCUAGGUGGAAGAGGAAAAGGGUUUUGGUGGUGAGUAUUCUGACUCUAUAACCUGGCUGCAAGUGUGAGGCUGUGGGAAUGUCUGUGGUAAUCUCCUUAGACCAGUACUUACACCAGAAACUUCGUCAAAUAGUGCCAACUCAGCUGCAGAGACGCAAAACAAGGUUCCACAUCUUUUAUUCUGGGCAAAUCUUGCUAAACAUCACAGUAAAGGAGGUGAAAAAAUGAUAGUUUCCCAGAAGCUGGGCAGCCAUGUGCUUUCCUCAGAAGAAGUACAGGCCAGAGAGAGAAGGGGGAGGAGUUAUAACUAGGGAUACAGAAAGCCAAGAGGGCCAAACUACAAAGGAGGAGCUAUUGCAUCAUGCUAAGAGUACAGAAAGCCGAGAGGGCCAAACUACAAAUCAAACACAGUGUGGCAGACGCAUAUAUUAUGCUGUGGGGCAUAACAGUGAGGAAAGGAGUCUGGGCAGCAAAGGAAGUUGGGGAAAGACUUGGUGGUGAGGAAGAGUCUGGGCGGCGAAGGCAAAGGGGAAAAGGUUUGGACGGUAGAACCUUGGUGGAUCGAAGACUUCUGGUGCCACGAAACACCACAACGUACAAGGCCCCACCAACACCUGUAAUAGCCCCUACUUGGGCCGCACCACGAAGACAUCAGAGGAGGACUCUCUGGAUGGGGCUGAUCUUCUUGGCACUCUUUUUUGGGAUUUCCUUAAGAUUCAUUCUCAGAGACAGGCUUGCUGCAGACAAGGAAAAAGGCAAUACUGUCGAGACAUUUUUAGAUCCUCCAAUUCAGGAAAGGCAGUACCUAUGAGGCAAGAAAACAAAGGGGUACAACAAAAUCAGGAAAAGGAAAUGGCUACUUCCCUUUCACAAAUGCCUGAGCUCGACGUUAGUCCUGAAUACACUGAAGAUAUUAAUGAAAAUAUAACAGUAGGAAUGUGUUACAUCGUUCAACUAAAAGCCUACAAAGAAGCAAGCAAUGACGCCACAAAGGAGGAUUUUUCUUUCAAAUCUUUAGACAGAUAAUUCAUCAGGGAAUUGCUGGGCCAUGAAUGGCGCUCAGGGCUUCUUAAUAAUUAAACCCAGCUGCCCUGCUUUUUUGCUUCUGGACCACCUUAAAAAGGAAAUCACCAGUGCUCCACCAAGGAGAUCACCAGUGCUCCACAAAACUUUUCUGUAUAUGGAUCGUGUCUAGAAGGAUGGCAAUACCUAAAACUUGUGAUUGCAAGCAAUUGGAAUAACCCAAACUACACGUGUAUAUAUGAAGUUGGUGUAUAUAAUUAAAUAUUAGCUGUUAGGUUAUAGGCACAAAAUAAAAAUGUGUUCAAAAGAAAAUGGGUAGAGAGUUUAAUAUCUUUAAAUGUUAAUGGAUUGGUUUCAGAUUUAAAAGGUACAGAUUGCUGACUCAAACUAAGAAAGAGGGCGCUAAUAUAAUGUGUACUCAAGAAACGCAUAAGGCUAAAAAUGAGAAAAAAACAUUUCCAAAUUUCUUGUUAUAGGAAACAAAAGCAGAAGACAGCGGAAUAAAUAAAGCAAGAGUGUUGGCAAUAAUAAUGAGCAAAAACCUAAU